UACGUAGGGUGCAAGCGUUAAUCGGAAUUACUGGGCGUAAAGCGUGCGCAGGCGGUUUUGUAAGUUUGUCGUGAAAUCCCCGGGCUCAACCUGGGAAUGGCGAUGAAGACUGCAAGGCUAGAAUCUGGCAGAGGGGGGUAGAAUUCCACGUGUAGCAGUGAAAUGCGUAGAGAUGUGGAGGAACACCGAUGGCGAAGGCAGCCCCCUGGGCUAACACUGACGCUCAUGCACGAAAGCGUGGGGAGCAAACAGG
rnacentral:rRNA from 1 species